UUUGUCAGGCCGUCACGGUCAAUAAGAACUUGUUCUUAAUGAUCUGCCUGGUUAAAUAAAGGUAAAGUAUAAAAAAAGACACAGGGAUCCAACCAUGACAUGUUAAUAAUAGCUUAUUACUAGCAAGAAUGAAAGCAGGAAACCAGUAUUUAUUCUGCCAGAAAAAACAGGUUUUAACUCACACAUCUUCUAAGCUGGCCCCGCCCACACCUCCACAAUCCCUCAUCCCUGCUGAAGCGCCCACCAUGUGCUGCACCUGGGUAGACCAUCCCUGAAGAACAGGAGCAUGUUCCAAGGUACCACUGUUCCCGUACCACCACAUACAGGUUGGUGAUAGGCUCGAGGUUGUUUGGGGGACAUGUUGCCAUUUCUGUUGUCUCCUUUCACAAGAGACAGAACGCUAUGCCCCUGCAUCUCCCAUCACAAGAGAACCUCUGGUGCCCUAUCACAGGACGGAUAGGAGGCUUGGAGACCCUCUGGUGCCCUAUCACAGGACCGAUAGGAGGCUGGGAGACCCUCUGGUGCCCUAUCACAGGACCGAUAGGAGGCUGGGAGACCCUCUGGUGCCCUAUCACAGGACCGAUAGGAGGCUGGAGAGACCCUCUGGUGCCCUAUCACAGGACGGAUAGGAGGCUGGGAGACCCUCUGGUGCCCUAUCACAGGACCGAUAGGAGGCUGGGAGACCCUCUGGUGCCCUAUCACAAGAGACCCUCUGGUGCCCUAUCACAGGACGGAUAGGAGGCUGGGAGACCCUCUGGUGCCCUAUCACAGGACCGAUAGGAGGCUGGGAGACCCUCUGGUGCCCUAUCACAGGACCGAUAGGAGGCUGGGAGACCCUCUGGUGCCCUAUCACAGGACCGAUAGGAGGCUGGAGAGACCCUCUGGUGCCCUAUCACAGGACCGAUAGGAGGCUGGAGAGACCCUCUGGUGCCCUAUCACAGGACCGAUAGGAGGCUUGGGAGACCCUCUGGUGCCCUAUCACAGGACCGAUAGGAGGCUGGGAGACCCUCUGGUGCCCUAUCACAGGACCGAUAGGAGGCUUGGUCAACGGUUGUGAAUGUCCAACAGGGGCAGGGUAUGUAGGUGUUACUGUUGUCAUACCACGGUUUCCUAUAAAUGAGAGAGUUGUGUGUAACAUAUACUGUGCACAUGUGUUUAACAUGUGUUUAACAUGUGUGUGUGUGUGUGUGUGUUGCGUACAUGUGUGUGUCUUGGGUUCUAAAGGCCCCUUGAUUCCCUCCUUUACUGUCAGACCUCUGGGGACCUCGGCUUCAAACAGGAAGUGACAGUUGAUCACCACGGCGACCGUGUUCCCAUCAGGGAGGGUGGGGCCCUGAAACAGCUAACUUCUAGCUCAUUGAUGUGCUUGUUGACUCCGAUGCAGUCAUGCAAUGUGUGUUUCCUGACAUAGAAUUAACAACAUAAUUGUGUUACCUCCUCUCUUUGCAUAAUGUGCCCAUCGGCGCUACAUGAUUACAGGAAGUAGACACAAAUGUUUUUCGGAAGACAAUUUCUUCCCCAAAGUCGGGUUUGAAAAUGAAACCUGGCCGAAUGGUAAUUGGUCAAGGAUUUGGAUUCCUGGCACACAUGAUUAGAAACAGAUUUCAAAUCAUUUAGUGUAAUUAAAGUAUGCAUAAACAAUCCCCCGCCCUGUACAAACGACACACAAACACACACACACACACACACACACACACACACACACACACACACACACACACACACACACACACACACACACACACACACACACACACACACACACACACACACACAUGCACGCAUGCAUGCACACACAUUCUUAAGAUCUAGACCUAAAACUGGGUGAGAAGCUUUGCAACAGCAGCGCUACGCAUAUGUUACCAUAGCUCUUGUAUGUUCCUAAAGGUCCACCAUGCAUGGUUAGUGUGCAGGUCAUUGUUGAACCUAAUAUGCACGUUUCAAGUUUGUCAUUAGAAGCCUUAUGGUGCAAUAUUAACUUCAACACCUCCUUCACCUUGAACCGCUAUCAAAGGUUCUGCCAAUACUAACAUCGUUCCCCGUUUCUUUUCUCUUUUUUUUUUAAACAAUCUCAGUACACCCUUUUAGGUGGCUAAAAGCUACUCCUAUCCUUAAAACAGGGGUGGAUGCAUUCUUUCCACCACUAGUUUGUGUUUGCUCAGGUUUGAGCCGCUACAUUCCAUUGAACCGUUGCAUUCCAAGGAAGGCCUCGACUGGCUGCUUGAGCAGAACCAAGGUCGACCACUGCAGCGGCGCCGUAGCACCGUGACGAUCCAGAGCUGUUGACACACGCAUGUGUUUGGAGAGAGGUGUCUGCAGGCUUCUUCCAUGCGGGCGUGUGUGUGUGGGUCAGAGUCCACACACUGACACCAUUGACGCUGAAUACAACUGGGCUGGGACAACAGCACAGUCACUGCUCUGUGAGUGCACAAUAUGGCCGUCAUGCGUGAUGCCAGUGCACGUACACUGAAGUACCAUCACCACGGCGACCAACCCAUCACGGCCGAUUGUAACGGAGUGCGGCACGGAGUGAAGUGUCCGAGGAGUGUAUCUACAGAGCGUACAAAACGUGACAGAAGUACCCAUCACCACGGUAACCGCCAGCACUCAGCCUCCACCAGACAAGAUGGCAAGGUGGUGAUCAUCUGGCACUUACACUUGUGUCUCCAUACACACACAAAAACACCCACAUACACCCCCAUAACCCCCCCCCCCCCCACACACACACACAGACACACACAGACAAAACAAGCCCAUUUUCCACCAGCAGAUCCCAGGACCAGACGGGGCUUUCCCCUGCCUCUCUGCCAGACCUUUCCGGGACAUCGCUCCCACCUAUCGGCUGCUGUUUCCUGCCCCUCUGACUCCUGAUAGGAGGCCUGGGAAAGAGAACACAAGGUCGUCAGUGAAGGCAAGGUCAUCUGAGAAUAGAAAUUAACUAAAAAUAUGAAGAAAACAUGUCGAGCCCAACUGUCCCUGCGUAGUCAGCAGUCCCUGCACCGACGCUCCAGAGAGGGUUGUGGUGUCCAAGGACAACGUGGUUCAGAUCCAAGGGCCCUGCAAUGACGUUCCUUGGAAUACUGCAUUGUGCCUGUUUAUUGUUUGUUUGCUUGUGUGUAGCCUGACGCCAUAUAGUAUAGACGAGUGCUAUGAUGCUAUACUGUUUAUGUGUUUAGUCACACCAUGUGUGUUUAUGUGCCUUGACGCUUUCCAUAUGAUGCGGUUUUAUGCAUGUGUGUUUGUGUUGAUGGCUUGAAGGGCUUCAAUUGUUAUUGUGUGUACGUAUGUGUGUGUGUGUGUGAAGUUGUUUGUGUGUGUGUAUUUCAGUGCAGAAAAUACUUUUAGGCAACUCCAUGAAUAGUAUUUGCAUAUGUGCAGUAUUAGGUGUUAGGCCGUAGUACAUGAUGUUUGUUUUGCGUUGUGUACAGCACUGCAUUCUGGGUGACAGUGGGUACCGUUUUGAGAUAAAACCAGAUAAACCAUUGAGCAAUAAACACAUCCGCCGUUUAGAAGGAUCAGAGAUAAA